UUAAGGAUUUCGCCAAUGGUCAGUCUUUUUAUCAGAAGACUGGUAGAGCCUGGAAAAGAGGUUAUUUGCUAUACGGUCCUCCAGGGACAGGGAAAUCCAGUAUGAUUGCAGCCAUGGCUAAUUACUUAAGUUAUGAUAUCUAUGACCUUGAAUUAACUGAGGUUCAUAACAAUUCUGAGCUGAGGAAGCUGUUGAUGAAAACAAGUUCCAAGUCUAUUAUUGUGAUUGAAGAUAUUGAUUGUUCCAUUAAUUUGACUAACAGGAAGAAGAAUAACAACAACAAUACAAGCACAAGGAAUUACUAUGACCCUGAAAUGAGAUGUGGGUCAGUUCCAGGCCCUGGUGAAGAUGGUGGGAAUUCCAUUACCCUUUCGGGGCUAUUGAAUUUCAC
rnacentral:lncRNA from 1 species